AUGGGCGGCUGUGCUACUGCCAAAAAUAAAUGCUGCGGUGGCCCUUCCCAAAUGCGUAUGGACUCAGCUGGAUCCCCAGGACUUUUUAUAGCCCUUCAGCUCAGUCCUAUCUUUGGUAGCAUCAGCAUCCCCAUAGCAACCAACUGUGAUGUCAAAGUAACAUGUUUUUUGGUGAGAACAGCAGGGAGCAGCGAACUCUUCAUAAGCAAAGAUCCAGUUUUCAUGCAAAUGUCUCGUAAUGUUUGCCGACCGCUGUUCAUGGGACAUGUGUGUGCUGUUGAGGAGAAGGCUACGCUCCUCUCAGAGCAAAAGGAAGCAGUAAUAGGAAAGGAAAAGACACAGUAGUACCAUGUUAAAUACAAACAUAUAUAUAUAUAUAUAUAUUUUUUUUUUGUAAGCCAGAACUAGUAUAAUGAGUUAAUGUCAGCCAUUUCCAGGCCUUUCCACUUGGGGAUAUUUUCCCAGGGGAUGGGUGGAUUGCAGUGAUGUGAACUGAGGCUCCUGACAGUAGGUGUGGUUUUCUGUGCUGCUUUUCAGGACUUCUUACAAGCAUGAUCCCAGGAACUUGCAGCCUACAGGCAAAGGAUCAUGGGUUUGUGUAUUAUGCUGACAGUUGUAAGGGAGUCGAGCAAACAAAUGAACUGUUAAGUUAUGGAGGUUACUUGCUAACUGUACCUUAAAUAGACCCUCAAAACCACAGAUUCCUCCCUUGCCUCAUCCUUCUGCAGAGUUGCCUCUGUGCAUAUCCUCUAACCCAGAAGACAGCAAUGAGCAGUGGAGGAUUUCACUUGUAAUAGGAUCUGUCCAUCUUUAUCUGCAGCACUGCAUAUUCUUUGGACCAAAAGACUCACGUGAUUCAGACUGCCCUGUGGCAUUAAGGAUUAAGCCUGUAAUUUGGAACAAGUUUGGUUUGUAGGACAGAGUUCCCCCCCUGCUGAGGCUCGAAGAAACAACGUAUUGUAACUUCAUGCUGCAAAGAGUAGAAUUUAUCUACUCAGAGCUCUCCUAAGUGCUGGCUGCUUUGUUGGAACGAUCGUGUUUUCAGGCUCCUUGCUGCUGUCUCAAGAGCAAGGUGUGCUGCAGGCUGGAGGAUGCUGGGAGGUGUUGAGCUGAGGAGCUCUGGGGCUGGAAGGGAAUUACGAGAGCAGCAGGCAGAUUGGGACUGUAGUGAGUUCCCCAGCCUAUCUGUCAAAUGAAAGCCAGGGCAGAGGGCUGCAGGAGGAGCCCUGGGAGUGCUGGGAGAGGGCAGACUCAGAGAGAAGCUUUUAUUCAUGGAAGAUUCACUUAGUCUUAAGUGAUGAUAUCAGUGAAUGAGAUUUACCCAAUUCUAAUCUGGGCAAUAGAGAGUCAACCUGCUCCUCCCUGCCUGACCUGAAUCAACGAAGAAAUGAGUUUACCUCCUCUUUAAUUACAGAUAUAUCACUGGCUCAAUGGCAACUGAAAAUGCCAUGUGGUUUC
rnacentral:lncRNA from 1 species